AUUUAGGUUAGCUAACUUUUGCUAAAAGGGGAAAUAAACUGUUAUUUUGUUUUAUUUUAACUCUUAGAAUAUUAGCUAGUUAACUACUUUAUCUACAUGAGUGACUUAAAGCUAUUAAUCUGCCUUUACCUCUCAACAAUUGGCUAGCUAUAGCCAACCUAAAGCGAUUUAGCGUUUAGCUAGCUAGGUAUAGCUAGCUUAGUUAGCUCUUCAACUGUUUUCAGUUAACGUUAUCGUUCAGAAACACACCAGUAAUCGAACAAUAAUUUGUUUUUACAUCUGUCUGCUGCAGAUCAGCUGGAGAGAAGGAGUGAGGAACAGUCAGGAGAGAAAUGGAGGUGAAGAACAGUGAAGAAAAGUGAAGAACAGUGAGGAACAGUUCAGGAAUAAUACAGGAUGAGCUGGAGAAGAGCUGCCUGAGCAGCAGGAGGAAGAAGUUUCCCAGAGAUGGAGGAGGAGGAUGGAGGGAGUGGAGCGCAGGAGAACGGAGAGAUGGAGCAUACACACCUCCACCUCACCUGCCUGCCGGAGAGAUACAUGAGGGCCAAGUUCUCCCUGUCUGCCUACAUCUUCUGCUGGGCUGUAGUUAAACUGUACCAGAGGAGAUUAAGACCGUCUCCGGUUCUGCUACAGGUAUGAAAGGGUUAAUCUCCGGAGCUGUGGAGGACAGUGAGCUGCUGGUGUUCUGAUCUGACCCUCCAGACUCCUUCAGCUCGGUUGUCUGGGCAGCAGCGUGAGAUAUGUAGACGUGGUGUAAUUGGUCGGAGAGUGGUGUAUUGUUCCUGCACUGUUUCUCACGCCGCUGGAGUUCAGUUCUCACGGCCAGCGCUACGUCUACCUUCAUAAACUCUCUACGAACACACAGACCGUCAGUACCAGCUUCCAACCCAACAUCAAAACCCCCUGCAACCCGGGAACUCUAAAUUACAUACAGACCGUUCCACAGAAUCAGUGCCGUUUCUCUCCCCAGGAAAUGACAUGUAUAAAUGUGCACAAAAUACAUUUAAAAUACAUUUAAAAUACAUUUUAUUGUUAAUCAAAGUGUCUUGUACAUUGACCUAAUUGCAAAAGUAAGACAUGUAUUAAAAACAUUGAUAAAAACUACUUAGACCACUGAAAAAAUAGCAUUUGUUACCUGUUACCCCACUCUCUAACUAUAAACUUUACCAUGAAAUAUAUUUAUUAAAAUCCUUCAGAAAUGUAAUGUGUAUGUUUUUUUGCGUUGUUGUGUUUAUCCAAACCACAUCUAUGCUUUAAAAAUAUAUAUUUUUCAUAAUAAAUACAUAAUAUUUAAGUUAAAUACA
rnacentral:lncRNA from 1 species